AGGGGUAUACCUCAGUGGUAGAGCGCAUGCUUGGCAUGCACCAGGUCCUGAGUUCAAUCCCCAGUAUCUCCA
rnacentral:tRNA from 1 species